AAGGGGCGGGUUUUACAAGGACGGUGGUCAUGGAAGUCGAAAUCCGCUAAGGAGUGUGUAACAACUCACCUGCCGAAUCAACUAGCCCCAAAAAUGGAUGGCUCUGAA
rnacentral:ncRNA from 2 species